UACGAAGGGUGCAAGCGUUACUCGGAAUUACUGGGCGUAAAGCGUGCGUAGGUGGUUUGUUAAGUCCGAUGUGAAAGCCCCGGGCUCAACCUGGGAAUGGCAUUGGAUACUGGCAGGCUAGAGUGCGGUAGAGGGCAGUGGAAUUCCCGGUGUAGCAGUGAAAUGCGUAGAGAUCGGGAGGAACAUCUGUGGCGAAGGCGACUGCCUGGACCAGCACUGACACUGAGGCACGAAAGCGUGGGGAGCAAACAGG
rnacentral:rRNA from 1 species